rnacentral:rRNA from 6 species
AAAUUGAAGAGUUUGAUCAUGGCUCAGAUUGAACGCUGGCGGCAGGCCUAACACAUGCAAGUCGAACGGUAGCACAGAGAGCUUGCUCUCGGGUGACGAGUGGCGGACGGGUGAGUAAUGUCUGGGAAACUGCCCGAUGGAGGGGGAUAACUACUGGAAACGGUAGCUAAUACCGCAUAAUGUCGCAAGACCAAAGUGGGGGACCUUCGGGCCUCACACCAUCGGAUGUGCCCAGAUGGGAUUAGCUUGUUGGUGGGGUAACGGCUCACCAAGGCGACGAUCCCUAGCUGGUCUGAGAGGAUGACCAGCCACACUGGAACUGAGACACGGUCCAGACUCCUACGGGAGGCAGCAGUGGGGAAUAUUGCACAAUGGGCGCAAGCCUGAUGCAGCCAUGCCGCGUGUAUGAAGAAGGCCUUCGGGUUGUAAAGUACUUUCAGCGGGGAGGAAGGCGUUGUGGUUAAUAACCGCAGCGAUUGACGUUACCCGCAGAAGAAGCACCGGCUAACUCCGUGCCAGCAGCCGCGGUAAUACGGAGGGUGCAAGCGUUAAUCGGAAUUACUGGGCGUAAAGCGCACGCAGGCGGUUUGUUAAGUCAGAUGUGAAAUCCCCGGGCUCAACCUGGGAACUGCAUUUGAAACUGGCAAGCUUGAGUCUCGUAGAGGGGGGUAGAAUUCCAGGUGUAGCGGUGAAAUGCGUAGAGAUCUGGAGGAAUACCGGUGGCGAAGGCGGCCCCCUGGACGAAGACUGACGCUCAGGUGCGAAAGCGUGGGGAGCAAACAGGAUUAGAUACCCUGGUAGUCCACGCCGUAAACGAUGUCUAUUUGGAGGUUGUGCCCUUGAGGCGUGGCUUCCGGAGCUAACGCGUUAAAUAGACCGCCUGGGGAGUACGGCCGCAAGGUUAAAACUCAAAUGAAUUGACGGGGGCCCGCACAAGCGGUGGAGCAUGUGGUUUAAUUCGAUGCAACGCGAAGAACCUUACCUGGUCUUGACAUCCACGGAAUUUGGCAGAGAUGCCUUAGUGCCUUCGGGAACCGUGAGACAGGUGCUGCAUGGCUGUCGUCAGCUCGUGUUGUGAAAUGUUGGGUUAAGUCCCGCAACGAGCGCAACCCUUAUCCUUUGUUGCCAGCGAUUAGG